AGCUAGCGGGUGUUUUAUUUGGUAGCUGUAAUGAUUUGAAUCUAUCAUAAGACACACGCGGCUAU
rnacentral:pre_miRNA from 2 species